rnacentral:piRNA from 1 species
UCCUGUUAGAACUCAAAGCAGUGGCCUC